AAAAAAAAAAAAAAAACCUGCGACUUCUGACUGAACUGAAAAGAGCCGUUGAACAUUGCGCGGGCUCGUGUUAAUGUGUAUUUUACAUCAUAGGGCCCUCGAAAGAGGAGGACACCAGGAGAUAGCCGGGUGUCUUGAGCUUUGAGCGCCGCUCUUCUCUGGUGGUCUGACGGCUCGCUGUCUGAUGUGUGAUAGAGACGCCUCAGAGGUUUCAUCAGAUUCCCUCUCAGGACAGACAGCAGGUGGGAAAACUUCAGGCAGAGCCUCGGUGUCCUGUGAUUGGUCAGAAACAGGCCAAUCACGGAGGCUGCAGUUCUGUGACCUCUCUAGCACAGCGUGAUUGGUGAAUGCUGAUUGGCUAUAAACAGGAGAGGUUAAAGGUCUCGUUCUGUCAGUGUUUUCCGUCUGAUCCUCCGAUGGAUGCUCUUUUGAAAUGCUCUUCCUGGAGACAGGGGGUCUGGCUGCGCUCUGACCCAGAGGAAGAGAGGCCAUGUGGGGCCGCCGACCCCCUCCUGAGCCCAAGAGUCUUCACAGAGCCACACGAGGACAUGCAUCCAUCAGAGAGCGGGGUAAAUCAACACAUGAUAAUGCAUCAUAUUGUUGCCUUCAUGUCAGCAGUGCAUCAGUGAUGCCUUUGGGCCAAACAUACUUAAGUACGUGAUUAUAAAGGCUCGAUAUCAUGUGCAGUUGCAUUGUAAAAUGUGUCAAAAUGGAAAUACACUGCAAAAUACAUGAAGUUAAAUAAAUUUACAUAUUUAUAGCAUUGAUGGAAACCCCGGUUAAGAUGCAUGCAUGCAUGAACUUAAUAAAAUUAAUAGCUUGAAUGCAAUGCAAGUCGCUUUAGAUAAAAGUGAAUGCAUACAUUUUCAUAAAAUCCUCAAAGUUAGGUAAAGUUAAACAGUCUACAUAUUUAUUGCAUUAAAGGAAACCCUGGUCUAUAAGAAUGCAAGGAAAGCAUGCAUGAACUUAAUAAAAUGUAAAACUUUUGAUAAAAGUGUCUGCCUAAUGUAUAAAUAUAUAUGCAACAUACAGUUUGCAUCUGCAUUUGCAUACUUGCGUCAAAGUCAGGACAUGAUGGUAAUAUUUAUUAGUUCACCUCAAGCCAUCACAUUCCACCAUCUUGAUUUUCCUUCUUGAAACACGUUCAGUUCUCCAACAAACACAUACUCCUCCCCAUUGGCCUUCUGAACAACACAAUCUCAUCUCUACUCUCUAUCGUUUCUCCCCGUCUCUCCCUCUAUCUGCUCUCGUCUUCGUCACCAAACACCUCGUUCAUACUCACUCUGACAGUGGUCUGGCCCCGAACGAAUUAUACAGGCGCUUCUGAGCUGAACGUUCAGAUAAUUCGCACAUACCUCACACAAACACA